rnacentral:piRNA from 1 species
UACGAUUCGCGUUUCUUCAGG